rnacentral:rRNA from 1 species
GAUGAACGCUGGCGGCGUGCCUAAUACAUGCAAGUCGAGCGAACAGACCAGGCUCUUGCUCCUCUGUCGUUAGCCGCGGACGGGUGAGUCACACGUGUAUCCUCUCCCUAUCUGACUGGGAUAACUUCGGGAAACCGGCGCUAAUCCCGUAUAAUCUAUUGAACCGCAUGGUUCAUUAGUGAAUGUCGGCUUUUCUGUCUCUUAUCGAUGGUUCCGGGCCGCAUUAGCUAGUUGGUAAGGUAACGGCAUACCAAGGCAACGAUGCGUAGCCGACCGGAGAGGGGGGUCGGCCACACGGGAGCGGAGCCGCGUACCAGAGUCCUACGGGAGGCAGCAGUAGGGAAUCUGCCGCAAUGGGGGAAAGCCUUACAGAGCAACGCGGAGUGAGUGAUGAAGGUCUUCGGAGCGGAAAACUCUGUUAUGAGGGAAGAACAAAUGUGGAAGUAACUAUGCACGUCGUGACGGUACCGAAUCAGAAAGCCACGGCUAACUACGUG